rnacentral:rRNA from 1 species
UACGUAGGGCGCAAGCGUUAUCCGGAAUUAUUGGGCGUAAAGAGCUCGUAGGCGGUUUGUCGCGUCUGCUGUGAAAGACCGGGGCUCAACUCCGGUUCUGCAGUGGGUACGGGCAGACUAGAGUGCAGUAGGGGAGACUGGAAUUCCUGGUGUAGCGGUGAAAUGCGCAGAUAUCAGGAGGAACACCGAUGGCGAAGGCAGGUCUCUGGGCUGUAACUGACGCUGAGGAGCGAAAGCGUGGGUAGCAAACGGG